rnacentral:rRNA from 1 species
UGGCGACCGGCGCACGGGUGAGUAACACGUAUCCAACCUGCCGAUGACUCGGGGAUAGCCUUUCGAAGAAAGAUUAAUACCCGAUGGCAUAGUUCUUCCGCAUGGUAGAACUAUUAAAGAAUUUCGGUCAUCGAUGGGGAUGCGUUCCAUUAGGUUGUUGGCGGGGUAACGGCCCACCAAGCCUUCGAUGGAUAGGGGUUCUGAGAGGAAGGUCCCCCACAUUGGAACUGAGACACGGUCCAA